rfam:Triticum aestivum genome assembly, contig: Triticum_aestivum_CS42_TGACv1_scaffold_487491_6AS
GUAGUACUCCCUCCGUUUGGAAUUACUUGUCGCAGAAAUGGAUGUAUCUAGACGUAUUUUAUUUCUAGAUACAUUCAUAUCCAAGACAAGUAAUUACGAACGGAGGGAGUAUAUG